AGUAAAUGUCGUCAUAAAUGGGCGCGGUGGAGGAUCGACCAAUAGGAGCGAGCGACUAACGACACUUUCAACUGCUCUCAGGAAUAUUACAGAAACCAUCAAGCCGCCUUGAAGUAGUGGGAACUGCCGUGACUAAACUGCGGAGUUCACAUGGCCGAGAUGUGAUAUUUAAGAAGAAAAUGUCUGAAGUUAUCUGAAAACCGUGUAAGUAUAGUAUCUCAACCAGUCGACCUUAAGGAAUCACCUAGCGUGCACUUAUGAAUAAGUAUAUCCCUUGUCCUCUGUAACUGUGUGGCAAAAGUAGCGACAUGUUGCUUGAAAAAAUAAAACAGCCUAAAUUGCAGGCCUAGUCCAAAUGAUUUUUCUCGACUAGCACCUGACUGGUCUGCACAACUUCAACUUCGAAAUUCUCAGUGUCCGAGGCGUCUUGAAAGCAUCAUGAAAAUUACAGUGCUCCGGUGUUGUUUUGACUGCGGUACGUCUGUGUGCUCAAGCAAGACUGCAGAGCCAUUUCAGCCUGUGAUGCUUCUCUACCUCUGUAAACUCACCUGGCAGCAGUCCAGUCCAGAAAAUAAAGGUGGAAAACCCUGCAAAUCUUGCCAUAGUCUGUGGCCUUAGCCACGUCAGAUCAGGGCCUCAUCAAGGCAGGAAGUGAACCCUCCA